CUGGCGGCGUGCUUAACACAUGCAAGUCGAACGAGAAGAGAUGAGAAGCUUGCUUCUUAUUAAUUCGAGUGGCAAACGGGUGAGUAACGCGUAAGCAACCUGCCCUUCAGAUGGGGACAACAGCUGGAAACGGCUGCUAAUACCGAAUACGUUCUUUUUGUCGCAUGGCAGAGGGAAGAAAGGGAGGCUCUUCGGAGCUUUCGCUGAAGGAGGGGCUUGCGUCUGAUUAGCUAGUUGGAGGGGUAACGGCCCACCAAGGCGACGAUCAGUAGCCGGUCUGAGAGGAUGAACGGCCACAUUGGAACUGAGACACGGUCCAGACUCCUACGGGAGGCAGCAGUGGGGAAUAUUGCACAAUGGGGGAAACCCUGAUGCAGCAACGCCGCGUGAGUGAUGACGGUCUUCGGAUUGUAAAGCUCUGUCUUUAGGGACGAUAAUGACGGUACCUAAGGAGGAAGCCACGGCUAACUACGUG
rnacentral:rRNA from 1 species